rnacentral:rRNA from 1 species
UAAUACAGAGGGUGCAAGCGUUAAUCGGAUUUACUGGGCGUAAAGGGUGCGUAGGUGGUUGUAUAAGUCGGAUGUGAAAGCCCGGGGCUUAACCUCGGAACUGCAUUCGAUACUGUAUGACUAGAGUUCGGUAGAGGGCGGCGGAAUUUCCGGUGUAGCGGUGAAAUGCGUAGAUAUCGGAAGGAACAUCAAUGGCGAAGGCAGCCGCCUGGGCCUGAACUGACACUGAGGCACGAAAGCGUGGGUAGCAAACAGGAUUAGAUACCCUGGUAGUCCACGCUGUAAACGAUGAGAACUUGACGUUGGUUCGUUUUACGAAUCGGUGUCGAAGCUAACGCGCUAAGUUCUCCGCCUGGGGAGUACGGCCGCAAGGUUGAAACUUAAAUGAAUUGACGG